rnacentral:rRNA from 1 species
UCCGGUUGAUCCUGCCGGAGGCCAUUGCUAUUGGGAUCCGAUUUAGCCAUGCUAGUCGUACGAGUUCAGACUCGUGGCGAAUAGCUCAGUAACACGUGGCCAAACUACCCUUCGGACCGCAAUACCCUCGGGAAACUGAGGUUAAUAGCGGACACCACACGCAGACUGGAAUGUCGCGUGUGUCAAACGCUCCGGCGCCGAAGGAUGUGGCUGCGGCCGAUUAGGUAGACGGUGGGGUAACGGCCCACCGUGCCAAUAAUCGGUACGGGUCAUGAGAGUGAGAACCCGGAGACGGAAUCUGAGACAAGAUUCCGGGCCCUACGGGGCGCAGCAGGCGCGAAACCUUUACACUGCACGCCAGUGCGAUAAGGGGAUCCCAAGUGCGUAGGCAUAGAGCCUACGCUUUUGUCCACCCUAGGGUGGUGGACGAAUAAGGGCUGGGCAAGACCGGUGCCAGCCGCCGCGGUAAUACCGGCAGCCCGAGUGAUGGCCGAUCUUAUUGGGCCUAAAGCGUCCGUAGCUGGCCGCACAAGUCCAUCGGGAAAUCCACCUGCUCAACAGGUGGGCGUCCGGUGGAAACUGUGUGGCUUGGGACCGGAAGGCGCGACGGGUACGUCCGGGGUANGAGUGAAAUCCUGUAAUCCUGGACGGACCGCCGA